AAAGUCGUAACAAGGUUUCCGUAGGUGAACCUGCGGAAGGAUCAUUAAUGAUUUUUGGAUUGUGCUGGCUGUUUUGCAUGUGCACGUCUACCUUUCUACACACCUGUGAACUUUUGACCUGAAGCCCUUAGGGGUGAAUGGUAUUAUACACCCAUUUGUAUGUAUGUGAUAUUGUUAUUUGGCGCAAGCCUUAUUAAAAUACAACUUUCAACAACGGAUCUCUUGGCUCUC
rnacentral:misc_RNA from 1 species